rnacentral:rRNA from 1 species
AUCAGUGUGUGUGUUAGUGGAAGCGUCUGGAAAGGCGUGCGAUACAGGGUGACAGCCCCGUACACAAAAAUGCACAUAUUGUGAGCUCGAUGAGUAGGGCGGGACACGUGGUAUCCUGUCUGAAUAUGGGGGGACCAUCCUCCAAGGCUAAAUACUCCUGACUGACCGAUAGUGAACCAGUACCGUGAGGGAAAGGCGAAAAGAACCCCGGCGAGGGGAGUGAAAAAGAACCUGAAACCGUGUACGUACAAGCAGUGGGAGCACGCUUAGGCGUGUGACUGCGUACCUUUUGUAUAAUGGGUCAGCGACUUAUAUUCUGUAGCAAGGUUAACCGAAUAGGGGAGCCGAAGGGAAACCGAGUCUUAACUGGGCGUUAAGUUGCAGGGUAUAGACCCGAAACCCGGUGAUCUAGCCAUGGGCAGGUUGAAGGUUGGGUAACACUAACUGGAGGACCGAACCGACUAAUGUUGAAAAAUUAGCGGAUGACUUGUGGCUGGGGGUGAAAGGCCAAUCAAACCGGGAGAUAGCUGGUUCUCCCCGAAAGCUAUUUAGGUAGCGCCUCGUGAAUUCAUCUCCGGGGGUAGAGCACUGUUUCGGCAAGGGGGUCAUCCCGACUUACCAACCCGAUGCAAACUGCGAAUACCGGAGAAUGUUAUCACGGGAGACACACGGCGGGUGCUAACGUCCGUCGUGAAGAGGGAAACAACCCAGACCGCCAGCUAAGGUCCCAAAGUCAUGGUUAAGUGGGAAACGAUGUGGGAAGGCCCAGACAGCCAGGAUGUUGGCUUAGAAGCAGCCAUCAUUUAAAGAAAGCGUAAUAGCUCACUGGUCGAGUCGGCCUGCGCGGAAGAUGUAACGGGGCUAAACCAUGCACCGAAGCUGCGGCAGCGACACUAUGUGUUGUUGGGUAGGGGAGCGUUCUGUAAACCUGUGAAGGUGUACUGUGAGGUAUGCUGGAGGUAUCAGAAGUGCGAAUGCUGACAUAAGUAACGAUAAAGCGGGUGAAAAGCCCGCUCGCCGGAAGACCAAGGGUUCCUGUCCAACGUUAAUCGGGGCAGGGUGAGUCGACCCCUAAGGCGAGGCCGAAAGGCGUAGUCGAUGGGAAACAGGUUAAUAUUCCUGUACUUGGUGUUACUGCGAAGGGGGGACGGAGAAGGCUAUGUUGGCCGGGCGACGGUUGUCCCGGUUUAAGCGUGUAGGCUGGUUUUCCAGGCAAAUCCGGAAAACUAAGGCUGAGGCGUGAUGACGAGGCACUACGGUGCUGAAGCAACAAAUGCCCUGCUUCCAGGAAAAGCCUCUAAGCAUCAGGUAACAUCAAAUCGUACCCCAAACCGACACAGGUGGUCAGGUAGAGAAUACCAAGGCGCUUGAGAGAACUCGGGUGAAGGAACUAGGCAAAAUGGUGCCGUAACUUCGGGAGAAGGCACGCUGAUAUGUAGGUGAAGUCCCUCGCGGAUGGAGCUGAAAUCAGUCGAAGAUACCAGCUGGCUGCAACUGUUUAUUAAAAACACAGCACUGUGCAAACACGAAAGUGGACGUAUACGGUGUGACGCCUGCCCGGUGCCGGAAGGUUAAUUGAUGGGGUCAGCGCAAGCGAAGCUCUUGAUCGAAGCCCCGGUAAACGGCGGCCGUAACUAUAACGGUCCUAAGGUAGCGAAAUUCCUUGUCGGGUAAGUUCCGACCUGCACGAAUGGCGUAAUGAUGGCCAGGCUGUCUCCACCCGAGACUCAGUGAAAUUGAACUCGCUGUGAAGAUGCAGUGUACCCGCGGCAAGACGGAAAGACCCCGUGAACCUUUACUAUAGCUUGACACUGAACAUUGAGCCUUGAUGUGUAGGAUAGGUGGGAGGCUUUGAAGUGUGGACGCCAGUCUGCAUGGAGCCGACCUUGAAAUACCACCCUUUAAUGUUUGAUGUUCUAACGUUGACCCGUAAUCCGGGUUGCGGACAGUGUCUGGUGGGUAGUUUGACUGGGGCGGUCUCCUC